rnacentral:rRNA from 1 species
GAUGAACGCUGGCGGCGUGCCUAACACAUGCAAGUCGAGCGAGGGUUUGCUCAGUAUUGAGUAUUCUAAGACUAGAAUGUUCAAUUCUGAGCAAAACCAAGCGGCGGACGGGUGAGUAACGCGUGGGUAACCUGCCCUAUACACAUGGAUAACAUACUGAAAAGUUUACUAAUACAUGAUAAUAUAUAUUUGUGGCAUCGCAGAUAUAUCAAAGUGUUAGCGGUAUAGGAUGGACCCGCGUCUGAUUAGCUAGUUGGUGAGAUAACUGCCCACCAAGGCGACGAUCAGUAGCCGACCUGAGAGGGUGAUCGGCCACAUUGGAACUGAGACACGGUCCAAACUCCUACGGGAGGCAGCAGUGGGGAAUAUUGCACAAUGGGCGAAAGCCUGAUGCAGCAACGCCGCGUGAACGAUGAAGGUCUUCGGAUCGUAAAGUUCUGUUGCAGGGGAAGAUAAUGACGGUACCCUGUGAGGAAGCCCCGGCUAACUACGUGCCAGCAGCCGCGGUAAUACGUAGGGGGCUAGCGUUAUCCGGAUUUACUGGGCGUAAAGGGUGCGUAGGUGGUCCUUCAAGUCGGUGGUUAAAGGCUACGGCUCAACCGUAGUAAGCCGCCGAAACUGGAGGACUUGAGUGCAGGAGAGGAAAGUGGAAUUCCCAGUGUAGCGGUGAAAUGCGUAGAUAUUGGGAGGAACACCAGUAGCGAAGGCGGCUUUCUGGACUGCAACUGACACUGAGGCACGAAAGCGUGGGUAGCAAACAGG